ACAUGCCUGCAACUUAGCAUUAAUGCACAGAAUCCCAUUAGAGCUCCGCAGUUAAGCGUGCUUGAGUUAGAGUAGUACUAGGAUGGGUGACCGCCCAGGAAGUCCUAGUAUUUUACAUGCC
rnacentral:rRNA from 1 species